rnacentral:misc_RNA from 1 species
GUGAAUCAUCGAAUCUUUGAACGCAUCUUGCGCUCCUUGGCAUUCCGAGGAGCAUGCCUGUUUGAGCGUCAUAGAAUUCUCAGAAUCCCCAUGUGGGUUGUGGAUCGUGGAGGAUGCAAUGCUGUCCCAAUCAGGGGCGUCUUUGCUUCUCUGAAAUGUACUGGCAGUGCCAUCGGUAUGAUACAUGCGUCUUACCCACGUCUAUACCGUGCAGCCAGGUGCAGAUUUCUCUCUCAUGAUUUGACCUCAAAUCAGGCAGGACUACCCGCUGAACUUAAGCAUAUCAAUAAGCGGAGGA